rnacentral:rRNA from 1 species
GUGGGGAAUAUUGGGCAAUGGGCGAAAGCCUGACCCAGCAACGCCGCGUGAAGGAAGAAGGCCCUCGGGUUGUAAACUUCUUUUAAGAGGGACGAAAGAAAUGACGGUACCUCUUGAAUAAGCCACGGCUAACUACGUGCCAGCAGCCGCGGUAAUACGUAGGUGGCGAGCGUUAUCCGGAUUUACUGGGUGUAAAGGGCGUGUAGGCGGGAGUGCAAGUCAGAUGUGAAAAUUAUGGGCUCAACCCAUAACCUGCAUUUGAAACUGUUCUUCUUGAGUGAUGGAGAGGCAGGCGGAAUUCCGUGUGUAGCGGUGAAAUGCGUAGAUAUACGGAGGAACACCAGUGGCGAAGGCGGCCUGCUGGACAUUAACUGACGCUGAGGCGCGAAAGCGUGGGGAGCAAACAGGAUUAGAAACCCCUGUAGUCC